UGAAGGCAAUGAAAGAAGUCACAGGAGGAUUUUUUUGCAGAGCUUCCAUCCAGUUCAGAAACAAAGCAAUUCAAUACAUGUCUUCAAGAUUUCUAAAGGCAAUGACUUAAAACUCCUUUGUUUUUUGACAAGAUUGGAAUGACACAGGUAGCUCAGUAGGAGUGAGAACUCAGGAAGGAACAAGAGUCAUGCCUGUUUUCCCAAUUCCUGCUGUCCAGCGUCCUUCUUCUUCUUUCUGGGAUACUCCCGACAUGUACUAAGAACCACCUCCAACCUUGUCAGAUGAGACUUUGCCAAUUUUUAUGCAAGAGUAAAAAUUCUAAGUUCCAUGAAAGCAGGCAUUGUGUGAAUUUCUCCUGCAUCUGGAACUGGCCUAGCACACCAAAGAACCUUGGAGAAUUGCCAAGAUUGCUGACUAGAUGUACCAGGAGAAAUAUCACCCACUGAGAGACCAGGACAUUGGAAAGACUGUAACACACCUCUGAGCAGAUCUUCUGAUGGAAGACAUUAAGAGUGGAUGCAGAGAGGAUGCAGAUGCUGGGCUGAAGAGAGAGGAAGCUGGGAACCCUGCAUAUUGUGGCUGAGCCUCAGGACUUGUACCUGACCCUCAGAGAC